rnacentral:rRNA from 1 species
GACGAACGCUGGCGGCGUGCUUAACACAUGCAAGUCGAACGGAAAGGCCCCUUUGGGGGUCCUCGAGUGGCGAACGGGUGAGUAACACGUGAGUAACCUGCCCUUGACUUCGGGAUAACUUCAGGAAACUGGGGCUAAUACCGGAUAGGAAUCCUUGCUGCAUGGUGGGGGUUGGAAAGCUUCGGCGGUUUUGGAUGGACUCGCGGCUUAUCAGCUUGUUGGUGGGGUAGUGGCUUACCAAGGCUUUGACGGGUAGCCGGCCUGAGAGGGCGACCGGCCACAUUGGGACUGAGAUACGGCCCAGACUCCUACGGGAGGCAGCAGUGGGGAAUAUUGCACGAUGGGCGGAAGCCUGAUGCAGCAACGCCGCGUGCGGGAUGACGGCCUUCGGGUUGUAAACCGCUUUCAGCAGGGGCGAAGCUUGUGGUGACGGUACCUGCAGAAGAAGCACCGGCUAACUACGUG